UACGUAGGGUGCAAGCGUUGUCCGGAAUUAUUGGGCGUAAAGAGCUCGUAGGCGGUUUGUCGCGUCUGCUGUGAAAACUCGGGGCUUAACCCCGGGCCUGCAGUGGGUACGGGCAGACUAGAGUGCGGUAGGGGAGACUGGAAUUCCUGGUGUAGCGGUGAAAUGCGCAGAUAUCAGGAGGAACACCGUGGCGAAGGCGGUUACCUGGAGCUUGCUGACGCUGAUGCGCGAAAGCGUGGGGAGCG
rnacentral:rRNA from 1 species